UACGAAGGGGGCUAGCGCUGCUCGGAAUCACUGGGCGUAAAGGGUGCGUAGGCGGGUCUUUAAGUCAGGGGUGAAAUCCUGGAGCUCAACUCCAGAACUGCCUUUGAUACUGAAGAUCUUGAGUUCGGGAGAGGUGAGUGGAACUGCGAGUGUAGAGGUGAAAUUCGUAGAUAUUCGCAAGAACACCAGUGGCGAAGGCGGCUCACUGGCCCGAUACUGACGCUGAGGCACGAAAGCGUGGGAAGCAAACAGG
rnacentral:rRNA from 1 species